ACCCAUGCAAAUAAAGAAGACCUAGAAAGCUCCGGCAUCACAACCAGAUUUGUGUUCCUAAACUCUACGCUUUAUUGCAUUUACUUUGCCAUGCUUGUCAUGUUUGUUAGUUGUGUUGUUUCCUAGCUUAUGUGUGAGUCUAUCUUUGAAACAUUGAGGACAAUGUUUGGUAAACAAGUGUUUUUAUUGAAAAUUUCGUGGGUUUUAUCACCUAGCAUAACUAGAGUUGUUUUUCAUUGUUUUUAAGUGUUUUGGAGUGUUUUAGUGUGUCUUAGACAGAAAAUACGAAAAUUUGAAAAAAAAAAUAGAAAAAGUUUUGAAAAACCCAAAAAGAGUCGUUUUUUUGUGCUUGUGUCUUUGGUUUUUAAUUCCAUGACUAUUAAAGAACGUUACAAACAUGGAUAGAAGUUUGAUAUGCUCUUUGGUUAAUGUUUGGUUAUAGUUGUCAUUAACGAAUUCACAUGUAAUCACAAAGGAAAAAAUCAGUUUUUGUAACAUGCUUGAAGGAAGGAACUCAAACUAACUCUACAACCCUGAGAGACUUGAGCCUAAACUUUAUUUGGAGAGUAUUAAUAUGUUCUUUCUUGUUUUCUAAAGUCAUUGCAUGAUCUCAUUAUUCUUUGCUUGGUUGCUACUUAGAAUGUGUUUCAUUACUUUAGUUCCAAAUACUAGAACUCAUGCCCAUUUCAUUCAAAGCUUGAAAAUUGAGUGCAUAACAUAUAACAAGAUGAAGUUGUUUAGUAGUUACCACCAGAGCCAAAAAGCCUUCACCCCAUGCAUUUGUUUCGUAGGUUUAACCCAUUUGAGCCUUAUUUAGCCUAUUUUCUUUGUUAGCCACAUUAUCCUUACCUAGCCUAGAUUAGGACCACCCAUACCCUUGUUCUUAAAGGAUAGUGAAGCAUGACUUAGAGGGAAUUCUUUUUUAUUAACAUUUUACAGAAAAACAAGUGUGGGGGAAGUAAUUUUUGUGUAUGUGUGCCAAAGUCUUAAGAGAUGCAAUGGUAGAAAAGAAAAAGAAAAGAAAAAUUCGUGGAAAAUAGAAAGAAAAAAGAAAAGUUGUGGAAAGAAUGAAGAAGAGUUGAAAAAUAUAUGAAAAAGAGCUUACAUGUUGCAUGAAUCUUCCCUUGUGUUUAAAAGUUCAUUUUUGCAUGCAAAAGUGAAUUCUAAGUGUCAAUUUCAUUACUUUGCUUACUAUGUCUUUAAGAACUUUUGUUUUCCUUUAUCUUUCUUUGUUCGCCAAUACCCUAGCCCCAUUACAACCCUUGACUUCAAUAUUAAGUGUUGUGUGUUUCAAUUUGUGGGGUUUGAAUAUUGGUAUGAGCAUAUGGUGUCACUGGUUCUCGCGUCUAAGUAGUAGCAUUCCAUUCAUGAGAUCAUAUCUAAGCAUGUUAAAUAACUCCAAAAAAUACUUUCUUUGUUAUACAUAUAUGUGAGUGUUCGUCUACAUGUUUACCUCAAUCCUCUCACAUAUAACUAGUGUUGGGUGUGUAAUCAGAAAAUGUGUGUGAAAAUAGAGAGUAUCUUGUAAGGAAUUGAGCAAAUUCUCUGAGGCAUGUUAUUACAUUCAAAACAUCGUUUUAAUUGGUUAAAUGUGAACUAGUAAGUGGUGACUAUGAUUAAGUAUGUGCUCAAGUGUGAAGAUGACUCAAUUAUGUGGGAAUGAUGAUUUUUAACGUGUCAUAUGCGUUGGAAAUCCCUGAGGCAAAUGUUGGAAGGAUUAUAGUGUGUUUUGUUUACUUUGUUUUAUUUUGUUUGUUUCGUUUUGCUCGAGGACUAGCAAAAGCUAAGUGUGGGGGAAUUUGAUAGGAGCAUAUUUAUGCGACUUAGUUAGCUUGUUUUCUUGCAUUUUCAUAGUUUAUUUCUGUUUAUUAUAGUGUUUAAGCUAUUUUCGUGUGUUUGUAGGUCUAAAUGACAAAGUUGGCAAGAAAGUGCAAUUUGGAGCAUUUUAAGGCAGUUUUGGGCAUCAAAUGGAUAGCUUAUGAAUGGAGUAAGAUGGAUGUACGAAUUUGAAGUUCAAAAGGCUAGGAAUGUGCUGAAAAGAUGAAGGAAAUAAAUCCAAGACAAAGAAGAUAAGGAAUCAGCUCAAAAGAAGGAACAUUAUCUAAAACCUUAU
rnacentral:lncRNA from 1 species